UCGUGUGUGUGUGUGUGUUAUAGAAGCGCGUGAAGUAGAGAGAAAGAAACGCACAGACAAAAUUAUUGAUAAAAAAGGAGAAGUGAGGAUAAAGUGUGUGAAGUGAGUGUUGUAUUGUUGGGAUAUCGCUGAGUGAACCGCGGACAUUAACAGAGCUGGGUAAGUGUUUGCUUACUCUGGAAACUCCGAGGGACUCUACCAGAUGACCUGAAUAAAAAUCAUGCUCUCUGUCUGGCCUCCUUGAACACAAUCUGAAGAGGGUGUGGCAUUGUGCUACUGAUGGCGCAGCUGCCUUUCAGAGUUCAGGGAACAUCACCUGCUCAAUUAGUGUCUAUGAACGGCAAACUCUUGGAGAAAUCUUUUGGAAAAAGCAUCUCUACAGAAUAAUGCUGCCACCACCGUGUUUCAAAGUGAAGUUUUUGCCACAUUUGAACUGAGUGACUCCAUGUUUCUAUUUUUCCAACAAUGACUUUCUCCUUGACUUUCUUGCAUAAAGGCUAUAGUUUGGGGAAUUAUUGAAACUACUAGUUGCUUUGUUGACAGAUUCUCCUACCUCCAUUACUUCUUUCUAACUUGAAAUGCUAAAAGUUUGGUAUAAUGUUUUAGAACCUAACCCUUCCAAUACUAGCUUUUCCCCACUUGGUCUUCAUGAUGUCAUUUGUUCUCUAACACAUCUGAGAGGUCUUCACAGAACAGCUGUAUUUACAUAUUAAAUUACACACAGAUGCUUUUUGUUUUCCAGUUAGGUGACUUCUGAAAGCAUUUGGUUAAACACUUUUAUUGAGAGGUAUCAGAGUAAUUGGCUUAAUAAAUAUGCAUGUCUCAUUUAAUUUUAGGAAGGCCUUGUACAAUCUUCCCCUCCAUUU